GCCCAGGUGGCGGAAUUGGUAGACGCGCAUGGUUGAGGGCCAUGUUCCUGUAAUGGGAGUGCAAGUUCGAUUCUUGUUCUGGGCA
rnacentral:tRNA from 1 species